rnacentral:rRNA from 1 species
AUUGAACGCUGGCGGCAGGCCUAACACAUGCCAGUCGAGCGGAUGAAGGGAGCUUGCUCCUGUAUUCAGCGGCGGACGGGUGAGUAAUUCCUAGGAAUCUGCCUGGUAUUUGGGGAUAACGUCCGGACACGGGCGCUAAUCCCGCAUACGUCCUUAUGUAGAACGUGGGGGAUCUUCGGACCUCACGCUAUCAGAUGAGCCUAGGUCGGAUUAGCUAGUUGGUGAGGUAAAGGCCUACCAAGGCGACGAUCCGUAACUGGUCUGAGAGGAUGAUCAGUCACACUGGAACUGAGACACGGUCCAGACUCCUAAGGGAGGCAGCAGUGGGGAAUAUUGGACAAUGGGCGAAAGCCUGAUCCAGCCAUGCCGCGUGUGUGAAGAAGGUCUUCGGAUUGUAAAGCACUUUAAGUUGGGAGGAAGGGAAGUAAGUUAAUACCUGGCUGUUUUGACGUUACCAACAGAAUAAGCACCGGCUAACUUCGUG